UAGAGUUUGAUCAUGGCUCAGAUUGAACGCUGGCGGCAGGCCUAACACAUGCAAGUCGAGCGGUAACAGGAAUUAGCUUGCUAAUUCGCUGACGAGCGGCGGACGGGUGAGUAAUGCCUGGGAAUAUGCCUUAGUGUGGGGGAUAACUAUUGGAAACGAUAGCUAAUACCGCAUAAUGUCUUCGGACCAAAGAGGGGGAUCUUCGGACCUCUCGCGCUAAGAUUAGCCCAGGUGAGAUUAGCUUGUUGGUGAGGUAAGAGCUCACCAAGGCGACGAUCUCUAGCUGGUCUGAGAGGAUGAUCAGCCACACUGGAACUGAGACACGGUCCAGACUCCUACGGGAGGCAGCAGUGGGGAAUAUUGCACAAUGGGCGAAAGCCUGAUGCAGCCAUGCCGCGUGUAUGAAGAAGGCCUUCGGGUUGUAAAGUACUUUCAGUCGUGAGGAAGGGUGUGUAGUUAAUAGCUGCACAUCUUGACGUUAGCGACAGAAGAAGCACCGGCUAACUCCGUGCCAGCAGCCGCGGUAAUACGGAGGGUGCGAGCGUUAAUCGGAAUUACUGGGCGUAAAGCGCAUGCAGGUGGUUCAUUAAGUCAGAUGUGAAAGCCCGGGGCUCAACCUCGGAACCGCAUUUGAAACUGGUGAACUAGAGUGCUGUAGAGGGGGGUAGAAUUUCAAUCCCGCGG
rnacentral:rRNA from 1 species